AGGUGGGUAGUUCAAUUGGUAGAGCGACGGUCUCCAAAACCGUUUGUUGCAGGUUCGAGUCCUGUCCCGCCUGCCA
rnacentral:tRNA from 1 species